CAUGUAACUCCGCCUGUGCUGCAUUUCAUAGCACACAGCCGGUCUCAAGCCCGGGUUAAGGAGGAGAGAUGCAUG
rnacentral:ribozyme from 2 species